rnacentral:snRNA from 2 species
AGCUUUGCGCAGUGGCGAUAUCGUAACCAAUGAGGUACUACCGAGGUGCGAUUAUUGCUAGUUGAAAACUUUUACCAAUACCCCGCCAUGACGAUGUGAAAUACCAUCGGCUACGGCAAUUUUUGAAAGUUUCUGCGGAAA